rnacentral:antisense_RNA from 1 species
GAGUCCCCAUGGCCCCCGCAGCAAGCCCCUGCCUCUCUCCUGUCCCGCUGCUGCACCACUCUGAGGCCCAGGUUCUCUUCUCCCAAGAGCGAGUGCAUUGGGUCAAGGUCACCCCAUCUGGAAGCUACCUAGACCCCAGCAAUGUUACCUGACCUGUGACACCUUUGUUCCUGUGUUCCUCCUCUGUGCCGCCCAUGGUGAAUGUGGCUUCUCUGUCUACAUGGAUGCACUCCCACCACACUGGGAGCUUCUGGGGCACAGGAGUCCUGCUUUACUUCCUGUGUUGAGCCCAGGGACUGCCCAAGAUAAUGCCCAGUGCAGGAAUGUUUCCACCAGGGGUCACAGGAAUGGCUCUGCUGCCCUGGGGGCUGAGUUGGCCACCUGUCUGGUGCCACCAAGUUAACAAGCAAAGCAGCAUGAAGGCAGUGGCUGGGGAAUCAACCCUGAUUAUCAAGGAUAAGAGUCCUGAAGAACCACAUGAAGAGAGUGCCCACAACCCAGAGGAUCUCCUGGAUACAGCUGUGUUACCAUGAUGUCCAGUGGAAGACACCACAACGCCAUUCAGGAGGGACCUCCAAGCCUGAAAGCCUCAGAGUGAUGGUUUGACUCACACCACCAGUAAAAUAACUUCCAACAAGCUGAGCAAGAAGAAAAGGGGAAUUGUGGCAAAUUGCAUUUUCCGAAAAUGGUCACCUUACCACUCUUCCAUCAAGAGGUGGUGCUAUGGAUUGAAUGUGUCCCCCAAAAUUCAUGCGCUGAAAACUUUACGUAAACACAAAUGCAAUAGUGUUGAAUGGUGGGACCUUUCAACACUAUCACAAGGGUGAUUAGGUGCUGAUGGCUCUGCCCUCAUGAAUGGAUUGUCAUUGUUGAGGGAGUGGGUUCCUGAUGAGAGAAUGGGUACAGCCUUUCCCUCUUUCUCACAUGUGCUCUUGUCCUUCUGCCAUAAGAUCAUGGAGCAAGAAGGCUCUUGAAAGAUGCCGGUCCCUGGCAGCCUCCAGAACUGUAAGAAAUAAAUCUCUGUUCGAUAUGAA